GGUAGGUGGCUCAGUGGUAGAGUGCUUGCCUUGCAUGCAUGAGGCCCUGGGUUCGAUUCCUCAGUACCA
rnacentral:tRNA from 1 species